rnacentral:rRNA from 1 species
UCAGGCCUAACACAUGCAAGUCGUACGAGAGUUUUUAACUCUAGUGGCGGACGGGUGAGUAACACGUGAGAAUUUGCCUUUAGGAGGGGGACAACAAUUGGAAACGAAUGCUAAUACCCCAUAUGCUUUCGAGUGAAAUGGAUUUUAUCCGCCUAGAGAGAAGCUCGCGGCUGAUUAGCUUGUUGGUAAGGUAAGAGCUUACCAAGGCGACGAUCAGUAUCUGGUUUGAGAGGACGAUCAGACACACUGGAACUGAGACACGGUCCAGACUCCUACGGGAGGCAGCAGUGGGGAAUUUUCCGCAAAGGGCGAAAGCCUGACGGAGCAAUACCGCGUGAGGGUUUAGAGGCUAUGGGUUGUAAACCUCUUUUUUCAGGGAGGAAUAAAUGAC